UAUAUCCCUAAAUUUUAUUGCAUCAAAUGAAGAUGACAGUGGUUUGAGACAAUAACAUCCUCUUUUACACUUCAAAUCACAUUUUCAAAGAACAGAUGGCCUUAGUUGACUUUUGAGUCAACUACUCACGAUAACAGUAACAACUGGUUUGAAAAGUGUGUGAAACAAAAGGAAUAUAAAUAAACCACAGGAGAAAAAGAAAAUAAAAUAGCCAUGGUAAUUAACGAAGUAUCUCUUUCCUGCCAGUUUGACACAAAUAAACCAUUCUAAAACCCCACUACUAAGUUUUUUCCACCCCAGUGUUUUCAUAUUAUGCUGUGCUACCAGAUUUUAAUGUUAUUAUAUACAAGCAAUAAUAAACAUCCAUAUGGUGUACCGACAAACUCUUUUAAAGUAAUUGAUUAUUAUCCCUAUUUAUAUAGUUCCCAUCAUGGUGAGACAUUGUGUAACUCUGCCACAAGAAAUAUAGCAAGAUAAGAGGAAAAUGUUAAGCUGGUGAAGAAAAAAGCCUGCUGAAGUUCCUCACACGCAUUAAAAUCUGUGGAAGUCCUUCUAAAACCCUGAGUAAAGACUGCAGGGGACAACCAUCAUAAAUAAUUUCAUUCUAAUUUUACACAUUAGAAUAGUUAAAGAAUAAUAUGUUUUCCUAAAUCUAAGUUUGCGAGAGUAAGAAAUAAUGAAUACCAAGAUGAGAUGUAAAACAAGAUGAAAAGCAUAGUUUUACCUUCUUGAGAAUUACAUUUGGCAGUAAAUUGUACAGAUGAUAUGGAAUAACCUUAUGCAUACUAAUAGUUCCAACUAUUCACGCAUGCAUGACUGCUCACAUGGGCAAGCCCAAACACAUUCAUGCCUUUGAAUACUGGUCUAUAGAAUAAUAAGCAUUAAGAAAAAUGAGAUAGCUUUUCAAAACGAGGGUUUUUUUCCUGAAGUGAAAUAGUCUUCCUCAAGAAUGUGUGGGAUACAGUUUCUGUGGAAUCAACAACUCAUCUAAACAUAUCUUCAUCUCAAACAGUAAAUAGGUAUUUUGCUAACAGCUGUGCUGACUGAAAAAAAAAAAAA
rnacentral:lncRNA from 1 species